rnacentral:rRNA from 1 species
CAGACUCCUACGGGAGGCAGCAGUGGGGAAUAUUGCACAAUGGGCGCAAGCCUGAUGCAGCGACGCCGCGUGGGGGAUGACGGCCUUCGGGUUGUAAACCCCUUUCGUCAGGGAAGAAGCGAAAGUGACGGUACCUGCAGAAGAAGCGCCGGCUAACUACGUGCCAGCAGCCGCGGUGAUACGUAGGGCGCAAGCGUUGUCCGGAAUUAUUGGGCGUAAAGAGCUUGUAGGUGGCUUGUCGCGUCUGCCGUGAAAACCCGAGGCUCAACCUCGGGCGUGCGGUGGGUACGGGCAGGCUAGAGUGUGGUAGGGGAGACUGGAACUCCUGGUGUAGCGGUGAAAUGCGCAGAUAUCAGGA